GUUGAACGCUGGCGGCGUGCCUAACACAUGCAAGUCGAACGUUUGGCGGACGGGUGUGUCAUGUCUGGGAAACUGCCCGAAGGAGGGGGCUAACUACUGGAAACGGAAGCUAUUACCGCAUACCAUCGGAUUUGCCUAGAUGGGAUUUGCUAGUGGGUGGGGUAACGGCUCACCUAGUCGACGAUCCCUCGCUGGUCUGAGAGGAUGACCAGCCACACUGGAACUGAGACACGGUCCAGACGCCUACGGGAGGCAGCAGUGGGGAAUAUUGGACAAUGGGCGAAAGCCUGAUGCAGCCAUGCCGCGUGUAUGAAGAAGGCCUUCGGGUUGUAAAGUACUUUCGGCGAGGAGGCGUUACUCGCAGAAGAAGCACCGGCUAACUCCGUGCCAGCAGCCGCGGUAAUUC
rnacentral:rRNA from 1 species